CAACCAUGCGGGACACCACGACUGGCAA
rnacentral:sRNA from 1 species